CGUGUAGGCGGCUCCUUAAGUCUGAUGUGAAAGCCCUGGGCUCAACCCGGGAAGUGCAUUGGAAACUGGGGAACUUGAAUACGGGAGAGGGUAGUGGAAUUCCUGGUGUAGGAGUGAAAUCCGUAGAUAUCAGGAGGAACACCGGUGGCGAAGGCGGCUGCCUGGACCGAUAUUGACGCUGAGACGCGAAAGCGUGGGGAGACAAACAGGAUUAGAUACCCUGGUAGUCCACGCCGUAAACGAUGAGUACUAGGUGUUGCGGGUAUUGACCCCUGCAGUGCCGCAGCUAACGCAUUAAGUACUCCGCCUGGGAAGUACGGUCGCAAGACUAAA
rnacentral:rRNA from 1 species